CCAUAACCAAACCCUAACUNUUCUCCAUCUUCUCUCUUCUUUUUCAGAAAUUUAAACCGUANAAAACUCCAAUUGGUGCCUUCAACUNGUUUCUGGUGUCGAGGGCUUCAGUUUGAGCCUACCAUAUCUCCAUUUCACUUGGUAAGUAAGUUUUCCCCAAUUUCCUCCAUUGUUCUUGCCCUAAGUAUGUACUAUUUCUNAUUUUUAUGAGUCCUGUAUCAUUUGGUCUUCCAUUCUUCACUGUUUCAACUCAAAAAGCUAAUCAAAAACUCCAUCACCUAAUCGGUGAUUUAUAGGUCCGGUUUUGUUCAGCACAGUGUAAGGAUUUCCUUAGGAGCGUUCUCUGAUAUUUUAAAAANNNNN
rnacentral:lncRNA from 1 species